rnacentral:rRNA from 1 species
UACGUAGGGCGCAAGCGUUGUCCGGAAUUAUUGGGCGUAAAGAGCUCGUAGGCGGUCUGUCGCGUCGGCUGUGAAAACCCGGGGCUCAACCCCGGGCCUGCAGUCGAUACGGGCAGACUAGAGUGCGGUAGGGGAGACUGGAAUUCCUGGUGUAGCGGUGAAAUGCGCAGAUAUCAGGAGGAACACCGGUGGCGAAGGCGGGUCCUGCCGUAC